rnacentral:rRNA from 1 species
UGGGGAAUAUUGGGCAAUGGGCGAAAGCCUGACCCAGCAACGCCGCGUGAAGGAAGAAGGCUUUCGGGUUGUAAACUUCUUUUCUCAGGGACGAAUAAAGUGACGGUACCUGAGGAAUAAGCCACGGCUAACUACGUGCC